UGAGAUAGGAACACAGUGACACACAGAAAGAUCAAUACAGGGCUAAGGGAGAGACGCGGCCGUUUGAGCUCCCCCCCCCCCCAGUGGAAGAAUGACAUCCUUCUCAAGACGGAAAUCAGAUUGCACUUUUUUUUUAAAGGUGCAAGAGAGUGGUUGAAAAGAGAGGGAAGAGGAAGAAGAUAGAAUGGGGAAAAGGAGCCUGUGUGAAAUGGGGACAGGACACCAAAGCAGAGACGCAGCAGAGGAGACAAACGGGGGAGGGGGGGUGGUGGCAGAAAGGGUCCUUUCUGGACAAAAGCACAGCUGGAGCUCAGGCUUCCCGUUUCUGACUCAGUGCUACAGCUCUGUACGCCUCCCAGGGAACGCCUUCACUCCCGUUCUGCCCUGCCCUGGCUGUUCCAAACUUCUCUCCUCCAAUCUACCAAACCUUGCCUCCACAUUCCAAAUUUUCAGCCAGUGACUGUGCUUCCUGAUUUACAGAGAAGAUUGACAUUAUCUAGUGUUCCUCCCUGUCUGCUACCUGAGGGCUGUCUUGUCGUCCUGAUCCGUAUCUGGCCACUGGACCCAGAUGGCUCCAGAGAAGGUGAGGCUGGUGACUUUGCACAGCCCUCCCUCACUCAAAUCC